UAUUUUUAGUACUAUGUACCAAAAAGAAAAUCAACAGAAUUUAUUUUUAUAGAAUAAAAGCUGCUUUCAUUCUGGAAGCCUUUGACUUUCAUGCUGUCAGCUCUGAAUAUAAUUUCAAAUACUUUUUCCAUGUUUAAUUGUCUCAUUGCUAACAAAGAUCUAUUCUUUCGAUUGGAAUAAAAAAAAGGUAACUAGAUAUAUUUCUUUUAAAGCAUGAAUGAAAUCCAUGAGCGAAUAUCUCUGGAACUUUAUUGAAAAUACAUUUUUAAAGUAAUGUAGUUUUAUGGUAGAAGGCAUCAAUAGGUCAUACGCAUAUGACCACAUAACAGAAAUAUCUAUAGAUUCUUGAUUGUAUUUUUCUUAACAUACAACUUGCAAAAGAGGAGAAGAGAAUGGCACACGGAUAGAGAAAAAGAGAGAAGGAAUGAAAGAAAAGAAAGGAAGAUGUUUUAUAAUUAAAAAUUAUUUCUGGUGUUUAUCAAAAUAAAAUUUAAAAUAUAGUUAUCCUGCAGGAGAGUGAAAUAUAAUCAACGUCCUCAGUGCACUGUAACUGCACAUUUUAAUGCACAUUUUAAUAAUUUGUAUUAAUAUCUUGCGUUUUUGCAUAUUUCACAGGCAGCACUUUACAGCCAUUCUGCUGUAAUUCAGAAUGGGAUUUUAGAGUUAGAAGAGUGCAUUCAAGAUGAAGUCAAUAGAGUUAUCAUGAUGACUUCUCCACUGUGUACCACCCUAACAGCACUAAGAUUUUGUUCAUUCAGUAAGAUGUUUGCAGCUUUGGCUCUGGAGCAGUCCUCGGACACAGUCAAAUGGCAAUGCCAGUCUGUGAAUCUGAACAGCCUCAAUAUGAAAUCUCCCAGCACAACUAUGUAGUAAUACAAGCUGCCUUAGGGGAAUGACUCCAGGCUGAUCUUAGUGGCUAUUACAAUAGAAAGUGGUAAAACAAAUGUUGAGGAAUUUCAAUGCCACUUCAAGAGCAGAGAGAUUCAAGGAGG
rnacentral:lncRNA from 1 species